rnacentral:rRNA from 1 species
GACGAACCGAGCGAACGUUAUUCGGAAUCACUGGGCUUAAAGGGCGCGUAGGCGGGCCAUCAAGUCAGGGGUGAAAGCCCCCAGCUCAACUGGGGAAGUGCCUCUGAUACUGGUGGCCUCGAGGGAGGUAGGGGCGUGCGGAACUUCCGGUGGAGCGGUGAGAUGCGUAGAUAUCGGAAGGAACACCGGUGGCGAAAGCGGCGCGCUGGACCUCUUCUGACGCUGAGGCGCGAAAGCCAGGGGAGCGAACGGG